rnacentral:rRNA from 1 species
AACGAACGCUGGCGGCAUGCCUAACACAUGCAAGUCGAACGAGACCUUCGGGUCUAGUGGCGCACGGGUGCGUAACGCGUGGGAACCUGCCCUUAGGUUCGGAAUAACUCCCCGAAAGGGGUGCUAAUACCGGAUAAUGUCUUCGGACCAAAGAUUUAUCGCCUUUGGAUGGGCCCGCGUGGGAUUAGCUAGUUGGUAGGGUAAACGCCUACCAAGGCGACGAUCCAUAGCUGGUCGGAGAGGAUGAUCAGCCACACUGGGACUGAGACACGGCCCAGACUCCUACGGGAGGCAGCAGUGGGGAAUAUUGGACAAUGGGCGAAGGCCUGAUCCAGCAAUGCCGGGUGAGUGAUGAAGGCGUUAGGGUUGUAAAGCUCUUUUACCCGGGAUGAUAAUGACAGUACCGGGAGAAUAAGCUCCGGCUAACUCCGUG